rnacentral:rRNA from 1 species
AGCGAACGCUGGCGGCAGGCUUAACACAUGCAAGUCGAACGGGCUUCUUCGGAAGUCAGUGGCAGACGGGUGAGUAACACGUGGGUACGUGCCCUUCGGUUCGGAAUAACUCAGGGAAACUUGAGCUAAUACCGGAUACGCCCUUUUGGGGAAAGGUUGACUGCCGAAGGAUCGGCCCGCGUCUGAUUAGCUUGUUGGUGGGGUAACGGCCUACCAAGGCGACGAUCAGUAGCUGGUCUGAGAGGAUGAUCAGCCACACUGGGACUGAGACACGGCCCAGACUCCUACGGGAGGCAGCAGUGGGGAAUAUUGGACAAUGGGCGCAAGCCUGAUCCAGCCAUGCCGCGUGAGUGAUGAAGGCCUUAGGGUUGUAAAGCUCUUUUGUCCGGGACGAUAAUGACGGUACCGGAAGAAUAAGCCCCGGCUAACUUCGUG